rnacentral:rRNA from 1 species
GGAGCCUUGCAGUUACUCGGUCCACCUUCGCGUGGGCGACACUCGUCUGUUGCUGGAAAUAAUCCUCCCCUGGGAGUCAAUCAGCUGCUGUAUAUYAACCCAUAUACCGCCCACAGAUCAAACACGAGUGGCUAACCCCCUUCGUUCGGAAGGUGGAUUUCAGCUAAGAUAUGACCGUAGCYGCCCCGCAAGGGGCCGAGAUACUAGUUCCGUAGGUGAACCUGCGGAAGGAUCA